rnacentral:misc_RNA from 1 species
CAUAGUCUCUACACGGUACGGUACGAAUCUUCGAACAAUUCAGAUCGAGGUCUAGUCUUACUUAGUCUUAGUGAUAAAACUCUGACCAUGUAUCGUGCAGCCUUUUCCUUCAACUCCAAAGACUCAACAUCAUUGAGCUUCAGAGAAGGUGAGGAUUUCACUCUUCUUGAUAAAACAGACCAACACUGGUGGCAUGUUAUGAAUCAUUUGGGCCAGACUGGGUAUGUUCCUGCCAACUAUAUGGAAAAAGGUCAAGCAUCCAAAGAUGAAGUACUCAGAUCCAUUGAGAGAGCAAUUGAAUUCAUUCAUCUGGCUGCUACCGAGAAAGGAGGCUCACUUUCACACCAACAGCGGGAUAAUUUACAGAAGCUUGUUCAACAUCGGCAGUCUAUUCUGCAAGGCAAUUCUGUGUCAUCAGAUAAACAACCCAAAAGAAAAGCCCCAGACCUUCCUAGACAGACUUCUACUGAGCUGCGAAGAGCACCUUCACCUCCUAUACAAAAUAAGUCUCCAACACAACCAGAACAAGCAGCAGGAUUAUCUCGCACUCCUAGGUCAUCAACAAAAACUAGAGCUGCCCCUAAGCCACCCCAAAGGAAUGAAAGUACGAAGCAAAGCCCUCAAGAUCAAACUGACUCACAAGAUUCAAGCCAAACAUUAGCAUCUUCUACACUAAUGUCAUCAACUAAAUCUGACAGGGAAAUGUCAAGUAACAACAGUUCAGGAUCCUCCGAACCUGUCAUACCAAAGGGUCUACUUGGUGAACUCGUAGAGGAGGUCAGAACAGAAACUAAUUUGAGCUAUGACAUGUCAAAACAAGCAGUGAGAAUCAUCUUGCAAGGAGUUGGAUCUGCAGUACCUCAAGUUGCAAAUGUCAUGGCUGCAAUUCUCUCAAGUUUGACUAGUGAUCUUAAUAUGACAAGUUCUAAUAUCAUUAUUGAAGGUAGCAGAGACCAUGAAAGGUUAGAGGUCAUCUUUAAAGAAUUAACAGCUUGUAAAGACGAUGCACAGCAGAGAAGUUGGGCUUUGUAUGAAGAUGAAGAAAUCAUCAGUGAUCACUUGAAAGAACUCAUCACAAUAUUAUGUGACGCAGAUCCACGAGUUUGUAAAGCAGUGGUUAAGAAGGAUCACUUUGAAUACAUACAUAAUCUGGUUUUAUACUAUCAAAUGGAACAACGGUCAUCUAUUCGCAUGCUCUUACUGAAGGUGUUUGGAGCGUUGUGUAACCUUGAUCGUGAGGCUUUAUCUAGUCUUCUAAGUUCAGUCUUGGUAGUGGAACUGGCUAGGGAUAUGAAAACAGAUCAGGAAAACAUCCCUAAACUCUGCUAUUCAGCUCUUGUUGCUACCAUGUUGUUAUCUACUGGAGAACCAAUUCCGUUCAGUCAUUAUGAUCAACUGAAUGCAGACUUUGUAAACUUCAUGUUAGAUUGCAUUGAAAACCCUCCACCUGCAGAUGAACUAGAUCAAGUACCAGACUUGUUUGUUAAUCUCAUUCUUGCCUUUAAUCUCCAUCUCAGAGUUCCUGCUGAUAGUAUUGUAAUGAAAGUGUUAGCUGAAAAGAGGAAUACACGGAGUUUUGGUGAAAGGAUCAUGCUUCUCAUCAAUAGAGGAGUGGAUCCUGUGAAGAUGUUUGAUCAUUGUUCAGACACUCAAGACUCUCUUCUCAAGUUUAUGGCAGACAUGUUUUCAAGUCCUGCAACUUCAGACCUCUUCUAUUCUAAUGAUAUGAAAGUAUUGAUUGAUAUCAUUGUUAGGCAGAUAACAGAUUUGUGUCCAGGUGAUCAAAUGAGAACAGAAUAUUUAUCUCUUAUCUUCAGUAUCUUUACCAAUACUUCAUACUGGGAGGAUCGUCACAGAUUAUCAGAGUUUGAGAGAGCUUUUGCUGCAAUAGCAACAGAAGAGGGAACAGAGAGUGAACAGGACCAACUGAUCAUCAAAGAGAUCCAACAGACCUUUGGCUCAAAGUUCACAAGAAAAUUUUAGAGACCAUACAUCUUCCAUUUCCAUAGCACAAACAGAUUUUUUUUUUUUAGAGGGAAUGAGACAGACAGAAAGCUACUUGUGUGUCAUCAUUAAUCUUGUGGAUCAGUUUAAGAUGUAGGGCUAUGCUGGCAUUACUACCAAACGCAUAUCACAAUUAAAAUCUAUUAAUUAAUUUGGUUGCAGAGAACCAGUGAGAUUAUGUAAUUGUCAUGUUUGUGAUAUGGUUAUAGAAUUAAAUUUAUUGCCUUUCUUAUUCUUGAAUUAUGCUCAUCUCAAACAAGAAUGUUUUUUUAUUUGAGAAAGAAUGUUUCAGGAAGUAUUUGAGUAUUAGUUGAGUUAAUUUAUUUUUUUCUAUGUUUCCAUCAUAUCAUUUGUUGAAGGAAAAUUAGAUAAUUUAUUUUUUGCAUAUUUUUGUAUCAUUGUUUUUCAUGUAAAUUCUGGUUUUGAGAUAUGACAAGUUGCAUUAUUAUAUUUCUAGUAUGCUACCUUCUAAUGUAGCUAGAUAUUUAUUAUAAAUAGACAAACUACCAUAUAGCUUUAUACAAGGCAUGUGAGAUAUGUUAAAUAUGUAAACCAUCCAUUCAUGGUUUAUUGUUGUAUUUUUUAUAUGCCCGUCCUAUGGGACAUAUUAUGGUAUCACGCUCGGUGUCCAGCGAUUAACUUUUCGUUGUAAAUGUGAUAACUUCAAUUUAAAUUAACCUAAGCUCAUAUUAUUUGGUGUGUUUGAUACUAACAUAGAUCCCAAGGAAGCCUAUUGAUUUUGAGGUUAAAAGGUCAAAGGUCACGAUCACAAUGACAUGUUUUCAUCUUACCCUUCUGAAGUCCUUAGAUAACACCACAACUUUAGUUGAACUUAACCUCGGCUCAUAUAAUUUGGUGUGUAUGAUAUUAGCAUAGAUCCCAGAAAUUCUAUUGAUUUUGAGGUCAGAAGGCCAAAGGUGAAGUCGCCACCUUCCACUUUUCUUGGUUGACCAACUACUCAAUUUUCCACCUUACAUGGGGCAUAUUAUGUGCUCGCCUUAGCGACACUCUUGUUUGCAUAUGUCAUGUAUAGUUCUUUUUAAAUUUGAGAUGAUGUUCUUGUGUAUGAAAUAAUCAUGGCAAUAAUUAUGAAAAUCACAUUGACAAUUAUGUCAACAGAAAAUUGAUAAAUGAAAAUAUGUACAAAUUAUAUAUCAUAUUUUGUACUAGAAUUAUAGCCAACUUAUUACCAUGACUAACUUUUCUGUAAUAAGAUAAAUUCCCAGGUGAACUUUGGUGUUCAAAUCUUACUCUUUUUUUUUUGUACAUCCUUUUCAUUUCUGUGUCGAUGUAUAGACGUUCCAUGUACCAUAUUGUUCCUCCCUAUCUAUUGUUAUGCAUCAGUGGAUCUGAGUUGCAAGGAGGAUGCAGAGGGGAUACAGUGGACGUUUAACAGAUGAAAACGGACAUAGAACAUUUGUAGUUCGUAUAUACAUCGUACACGGUGGAAAGUUCAUCCAUUCUGAAAGUUUUGUGCAGCUCGAACUGUUUUGGGGAUGAAAUCAUAUUGGAUGGAUGCUCGAAAGAUAGAGCAUAUGAAACACAUAUGCAUUGGGUACACAACAGAUGCAUAGGGUAUUCCAACGGAUGGCAAGAUUUUUUGUUUUACAUCUGCUUUUCAUCUGCAAGUGCUGUAGGACCGGGCCUUUAUAUGUCUUGAAAUUCAUGUUGACUUUAUGUUGUGCAAUAACAAUGUGUUUUGAAGCAGAUGAAAGAUUAUCUGAGAUCAAUUUAAGCAAUUAAGUAUUGCAUUUACGUUAUGUUUUUUUAAUUUGCCGUUGAUAUUUAUUUUCCGUGAUUCAAUUGGGGAAAUAAUUUGUAUCAUCGAAGUCAGUGACAAAGUUUUUCCCUCAAAAAAGGAUGGUGUUAAGUUCCAAUAUAUGUAAUACCCACUGAAUUAGAUGUAUAUUAUUGAUAUGUUAAGUGUUCAGGAUAUUACAUAAGUGGUUGUCUGGUUCCUUGUAAUUUAAAUUGUGUUAUUCUUCCCUCGAAAAUAUAUGAAAACCUAUGUUGAUCAUCUGGAGAAUUAUCAUAAUCUCAGUAAUUAAAGAGAAAUGAGACAAUAUACCAGAUUUAUGUUUGCUGCUGGUACAAAAUAGGGAUUCAAAGAUGUUAAUGUUGGAGAAAUCUGUUGAAUAAUAAUUGUUUAAAAGGAGUGCAAACACCAUCCAAAGUUGUUCCUAGUGUUAUUCAGACAAUUCUCAUGUAUAUAAAGCUACAAAUUUUACCAAAUUAUUGAAAUAAGUCAUUAUACAAUGCAAGUACAAAUAUUGGCUAGUUUAUAAUUUAAUUUUUGUUUAAUUAGCCAACACAUCAAGCAAAUUAGAAUUGUAACCAGCAUCCGGUUAUAUUUUCAGAGGUUGAAUUAAUACAAAAUAUUUAUAUCAGAUUUGUUGUUAAGUACCAGUAUGUGGGCUUAUCAUUUAUGCCUCAAGCUAUUUAUUGAAAUGGUUUAAUUCCCAAACUUAACAAUGUUUUGAAGAAAACUUUUGUUGAGCAUGUUAUAGAUUGAAGGGAUGAGCAGUGGAAUUACUUUAGCCAACCCAUUAUGAUUUCUCCCAUUUCUCUCUCCAGUCUCAUUCUCUUUCUUGCACACAAUUCCCUCCCUCUCUUUCUCUAAUCCUCUUUCCAGUCUCCUAGUCCUGUUUAUCUAUACUUCACCCCUCCCCCUCUCAUUCUUUCCCUCUCUCACACCCCUAUUUUCAAUUUCUUUACUCCAACCCUUCCCCCUCUUUUUGUUUAUUUUACCCUUUUCCCUCAUGAUGUUCUCCAAAGUUCAUCAAGUUUAUUUCAUUUAGUUAUUUCCAGUUUUUGGUAGAUUUACUUCUCAAAGUUCUUAGUUUUUAUGCAAAUCCAUGCAAGGACCAAAGCUGCUAUCAUUACUUUUAAGCAUGUUGAACUAACUCUGUAUUCUAUGGAAUAUUUCUAGCAUGAGCAGAUGCAAUAUGUAAAGGUGUAUCAACGACUUGUAUUUCAUUAAAUUGAAAACUGGUGCUCUGAAUAAUCCUAUUCAUCGUGGUCCUCAUUUUUCUCUCAUCAUUCACACAUUCAAUUUCAAAUCCACAUUACAUUAAAAUUGUUGGUCAGUACUGCUAUUAAUUUAUUUCACAUUAAGGUCUUGACUGCAAUAAAGGAGAUAGAUAAAUGGACGGACAGACAGACAGAUAGACAGAUAGAGAGAUAAAUUAAGUGAUUCGGUAAAGCUUGCUCAAUUAUCAAAUUUAGUUUUACUUUGCCUGAAAACUAUUACCAACAUUAUACAUAUAUAUAUUUUUGAACAAUAUCUUACAUGAUUGUAAAGUAAAAUAAUAACCAAGUUACAGUACAUUUCUUAUAUUGUUAUUAAUCCUUUUGACAUGUAUCAAAUACCAAUUACACACAAAGUAUAAGCAGUUAUGAGUAAAUUUUAACAGCAAUAUAUUCAUAAAACUAUUAUUUCAACUAAAUGCAAACGGGUUGGUCCUUUCAUGAAGCCAAUGCACAAGAGAAUACACCAGCACGUAACUUUUGCUAAAAUAACCCCAGAACAUUUAGAGAAUUUUUAAAACAGAAACAUAUAUCUGCCUUUUCUUAUCUUUUUAUUAUUUGACUUCCAAAGUUGAAGUGUUUGUGGACCGAUCACCAUUUGAUUGCAGUCUUGAGAAGAAUUUGAUAUAUAUAAUGUUAAAACAUAGAUUCCAACUAAACUGGGUUCAAAAACAAACUAAUCAAACUUUGCAAGGGCACAGCACAAAUUCCACUCAUUCAAAAUGAACAAAUAUUUUUUACACAGGCUAGCUUCAAUAACCUUUACUAAGCACGUGUCAAUAAUUAAGAGAUUGGUUCAAUAACAGAGAGGCUAUAGCCCCUCACAUUAAUUGCUUUCAGAAUCCAAAGUCACAUAAUGAAAAAAGAAAGACAAAUGAAAAUGAGAUGUGGUUAAACAAACUCCCCAGUUUAUCACUAAUAAGAGGGGCUAUAACCUCUGUGUUUGAACCAAUUUCAUAAUUAUAGUAAAGUAAAGAUUAUUGAAGCUAGCCUGUGAAAAAAAAUUUGUUCAUUUUGAAUGAGUGGAAUUUGUGAAAUGCCCUUCUAAAAUUUGAUUAAUUUCUUUUGGAACCCAGUUUAGAUGGUGUGAGCCUAAAUUUUCUUAUCUGUUUUUACAGAUUAUUUUCCUGAACUGAUUUCAUACGACAAAAAUGCUUGCAUAUACACAAAGCCCAAUUUCUGAAUUAUUUUUCCCAGGGUCCACAAUACUUUUGAAAUAUAGUACCGCUGAUUAAAAAAAAGUACGAGUUCACUUUCUAGGAUAUUAAUCCUGAUCAGUGAUCUUUUUCUUAACAAGCCAGGGAUUUUUUGGAGGCAGAACAUGGUGCAUGGAUCUAAAUUUCUCAUAAGUCCAAGCAAGAUAAACUUUUUGACCUUUUCAACAAUAGAAAUCUAAGUCUUGAAGAAAAUAAUUUACAUCAUAUGAAAAUUUAAUAUUUUCACCCUCUUGCAUUUUUACUCUUUUUUCCUUUUUGUUUGUCAGUAAUGGAACCUUUUAGCUCCCAUCUUCCCCUCUGUAUAUCCAUGUAAGUGAUGAGACACUUAAGAUAACCUUCUUGUAUAGAAGAGAAAAUAAUUGUACUUGGAUAAAGAUGAAAGUAUAUUAUUUGUAGAAGUUAAAUAUUGUAAAUCUCUUGGAUCAUUUUUUUAUCCUAGUUCUAUUGGGAAUUCAUUGAUGCUGCAGUUCAAACUGAUAGAGAAUUUAAAUGCAUUAAAAAUAACAUGGGUUCUCAGAAAUAUAUCAAACCAAACUACAUGUAUAUCAAUGAUAAAAAGCUAAAAUAGAAACUUAAGUCAAUUUAUCUAAAAAGUGUGGGUAUGUAAGAAAAAAAUCCCUCCUAUUCAUAAAUCAUUAAUACUUCAAAACAUAAAAAAACAGUGAUAAGUUGAAAAGAGCAUGACCAACCUAUUAGGAAGAUGACCGUACCAAAAUGGUAACAUUUUAUGCCAUCUCAAGUUCAUUGUAAAUGAAAUAACUUGGACCUGCCCUUCUAAUAUGCUAGAGUGAGGUUGGUCAUUAUGAUCCUUAUUAAUUGAUCAUUUGGGCCAGUUUUAGAACCCAGGCAAUAAUUCAACAAAUGAGAAUUAAGAAACAGAAGCUGAAAAAAGCAUCAGACUUAACACUAGCAAGAUUAAUAAAUAGGUUCCAUGACAUUUGCUCUGGCGACAUUUGGUCUGAUGAAAAUUCCCCACAUUAAGCCAAACAUAAA